rnacentral:rRNA from 1 species
UGCAAGUCGAACGAAGCGCUUAAAUGGAUUUCUUCGGAUUGAAGUUUUUGUGACUGAGUGGCGGACGGGUGAGUAACGCGUGGGUAACCUGCCUCGUACAGGGGGAUAACAGUUAGAAAUGACUGCUAAUACCGCAUAAGCGCACAGUGCUGCAUGGCACAGUGUGAAAAACUCCGGUGGUAUGAGAUGGACCCGCGUCUGAUUAGCUGGUUGGUGGGGUAACGGCCUACCAAGGCGACGAUCAGUAGCCGGCCUGAGAGGGUGAACGGCCACAUUGGGACUGAGACACGGCCCAAACUCCUACGGGAGGCAGCAGUGGGGAAUAUUGCACAAUGGGGGAAACCCUGAUGCAGCGACGCCGCGUGAGCGAAGAAGUAUUUCGGUAUGUAAAGCUCUAUCAGCAGGGAAGAAAAUGACGGUACCUGACUAAGAAGCACCGGCUAAAUACGUGCCAGCAGCCGCGGUAAUACGUAUGGUGCAAGCGUUAUCCGGAUUUACUGGGUGUAAAGGGAGCGUAGACGGUUGUGUAAGUCUGAUGUGAAAGCCCGGGGCUCAACCCCGGGACUGCAUUGGAAACUAUGUAACUAGAGUGUCGGAGAGGUAAGCGGAAUUCCUAGUGUAGCGGUGAAAUGCGUAGAUAUUAGGAGGAACACCAGUGGCGAAGGCGGCUUACUGGACGAUCACUGACGUUGAGGCUCGAAAGCGUGGGGAGCAAACAGGAUUAGAUACCCUGGUAGUCCACGCCGUAAACGAUGACUACUAGGUGUCGGGG